AGUAAGGUCAGCUAAAUAAGCUACCGGGCCCAUACCCCGGAAAUGUCGGUUCAUAUCCUUCCCAUACUA
rnacentral:tRNA from 1 species